rnacentral:rRNA from 1 species
ACGCUGGCGGCAGGCCUAACACAUGCAAGUCGAGCGGAUGAGGAGAGCUUGCUCUCUGAGUCAGCGGCGGACGGGUGAGUAAUGCCUAGGAAUCUGCCUGGUAGUGGGGGACAACGUCUCGAAAGGGACGCUAAUACCGCAUACGUCCUACGGGAGAAAGCAGGGGACCUUCGGGCCUUGCGCUAUCAGAUGAGCCUAGGUCGGAUUAGCUAGUUGGUGAGGUAAUGGCUCACCAAGGCGACGAUCCGUAACUGGCCUGAGAGGAUGAUCAGUCACACUGGAACUGAGACACGGUCCAGACUCCUACGGGAGGCAGCAGUGGGGAAUAUUGGACAAUGGGCGAAAGCCUGAUCCAGCCAUGCCGCGUGUGUGAAGAAGGUCUUCGGAUUGUAAAGCACUUUAAGUUGGGAGGAAGGGCAGUAAGCGAAUACCUUGCUGUUUUGACGUUACCGACAGAAUAAGCACCGGCUAACUCUGUGCCAGCAGCCGCGGUAAUACAGAGGGUGCAAGCGUUAAUCGGAAUUACUGGGCGUAAAGCGCGCGUAGGUGGUUUGUUAAGUUGAAUGUGAAAUCCCCGGGCUCAACCUGGGAACUGCAUCCAAAACUGGCAAGCUAGAGUAGGGCAGAGAGUGGUGGAAUUUCCUGUGUAGCGGUGAAAUGCGUAGAUAUAGGAAGGAACACCAGUGGCGAAGGCGACCACCUGGGCUCAUACUGACACUGAGGUGCGAAAGCGUGGGGAGCAAAC